GUGUGUGUGUGUGUGUGUGUGUGUGUGUGUGUGUGUGCGUGUGCGUGCGUGCGUGUGUGUGUGUGCGGUGACAUACCCCCUGUGGCCAUCAGGCUGACAUCAGGCUGAAGGGUUUCACACCAGAGGCUCCGAACUGUCGAGUGUCUCAGUGAGAGUGAUGACAUCAACGUGCGUCAUGUGUGACUGGUUCAACUCUAACAUCAACCUGCCUGGCCAGGACUGUGGCUCCGCCCCCACCUCCCCGUCGCCUCAGCUACAGGACAAGAACGCCAACAACCACACCCCCAACUCCUCUAGCUCCGCCCCCAUCGAGAACGGGAACCAGAUCACCAACGGUUCCAUGGAGAACGUCAGCCACAGCAAGUCCAACACGCCCAGCGCCACCUCUCUGCACCGACACAUGGACAGCCACCACACCCAGAGGAGUCAGCUCAACUUCUCCCCGUUCGGUGCGGGGGCCGCCUGUAGAGGCUGAGGGGGCGUGGUGAGUGGUCCAGCUCUCCCUCCGCACCGAGCAGUGCUUUACCGGGGUUCUGGGGGACCCC
ensembl:lncRNA